GCAGCCCCAUCCUACGGGAGGCAGCAGUGGGGAAUAUUGCACAAUGGGCGCAAGCCUGAUGCAGCCAUGCCGCGUGUAUGAAGAAGGCCUUCGGGUUGUAAAGUACUUUCAGCAGUGAGGAAGGUGGGUAUGUUAAUAGCAUAUUCAUUUGACGUUAGCUGCAGAAGAAGCACCGGCUAACUCCGUGCCAGCAGCCGCGGUAAUACGGAGGGUGCGAGCGUUAAUCGGAAUUACUGGGCGUAAAGCGCAUGCAGGUGGUUUGUUAAGUCAGAUGUGAAAGCCCGGGGCUCAACCUCGGAAUUGCAUUUGAAACUGGCAAACUAGAGUACUGUAGAGGGGGGUAGAAUUUCAGGUGUAGCGGUGAAAUGCGUAGAGAUCUGAAGGAAUACCGGUGGCGAAGGCGGCCCCCCUGGACAGAUACUGACACUCAGAUGCGAAAGCGUGGGGAGCCAAACAGGAUUAGAUACCCCUGGUAG
rnacentral:rRNA from 1 species